AAGCUCGUAGUUGAAUUUCGGGGGCAUUCAGGCCAAAGCUCGUCCUUGUGGCGUGGCUGGGUCUGGGCUUCCUACGUUUGGAUAGUGGGCAACCGCUUCCAAUCAUUUACUUUGAAAAAAUUAGAGUGUUCAAAGCAGGCGUAACCUUGCCAUUGAAUAUUACAGCAUGGGAUAAUAGAAUAUGACGUUGGUCUUAUUUUGUUGGUUUCUAAGGCUGAUGUAAUGAUUAAUAGGGAUAGUUGGG
rnacentral:rRNA from 1 species